CAGAAGACAUGAGAGUGAAGUAGACACCGUUACUGUUUCUCCUAAUGGGGCAUCUGAGGCCUAGAGAAGUUAAGUGAGUUGAACAAGGUCACACAGUUUUCUUUUGUAAGCUAGAGAUAGUGAUGUUGAAGAGAGUUACAGAA